UUAACUCAAAUUUGUAUGGAGUCGGAACGUUUAACUACGUUUGCCGCUAGGGGCGCUGUUCCAACUGCAUACAAAAUUGGGUUA
rnacentral:pre_miRNA from 1 species